GAAAUGCGAUAAGUAGUGUGAAUUGCAGAAUUCAGUGAAUCAUCGAAUCUUUGAACGCACAUUGCGCCCUUUGGUAUUCCAAAGGGCAUGCCUGUUCGAGCGUCAUUUGUACCCUCAAGCUCUGCUUGGUGUUGGGCGUCUUUGUCUUCCCAGAAGACUCGCCUUAAAGUCAUUGGCAGCCGGCCUACUGGUUUCGGAGCGCAGCACAAGUCGCGCUCUCUUCCAGCCAAGGUCAGCGUCCACAAAGCCUUUUUUCAACUUUUGACCUCGGAUCAGGUAGGGAUACCCGCUGAACUUAAGC
rnacentral:misc_RNA from 1 species